rnacentral:rRNA from 1 species
UACAGAGGCCUCGAGCGUUAAUCGGAAUCACUGGGCGUAAAGGGUGCGUAGGCGGGUUUUUAAGUCAGAGGUGAAAUCCUGGAGCUCAACUCCAGAACUGCCUUUGAUACUGGAAGUCUUGAGUAUGGGAGAGGUGAGUGGAACUGCGAGUGUAGAGGUGAAAUUCGUAGAUAUUCGCAAGAACACCAGUGGCGAAGGCGGCUCACUGGCCCAUUACUGACGCUGAGGCACGAAAGCGUGGGGAGCAAACAGG